rnacentral:lncRNA from 1 species
GGGAAGCGGAGGCUGAGAGCCGGCGACUUCGCCAGGCACUCCAGGAUAUGCUGCAAAAGAAGGAAGGACUAGAGGAAACGGUGGAGAGCCUGAGGCAGUCCUGGUUGAGGGAUGGAGGUGAUCACCCUAGGUUAGAGGGAGCAGGACCUCCUUAGAGUUCUUUUGUAGUCACCCCCUUUUUGUAGCUGCCCCUUUUUUCUUCUUGUCGUUUUGUCCCUUUUUCUCUGGCCGUCCUGGCCCUGUAGUACAUAUAUCAAAAAUGGGGAAAAAGCACUUUGUGUUACCUUGUCCGCGCGUAGCACCGAUAUUGUCGUUCGUUGACCCUUUCUCGUCGUUUGGCCUGUUUGGCUUAGAGGUCGUCGUGGGAAGGGGCUCUUCCCUUCCAUCUGAUCUCAUCAUGUGGCCAAGCCUCGCCACCAUUUUUAACCCUUGCUGGCGAAGUAGCGGAUGGAGCCCGGCUUUCUUAGGAGCCCGGGCGAAGUCUUUCCUGACGGCGGAGCCCGGCUCCCGUAGGAGUCCGGGUGAAGCUUCCCUGG